GGAAGCGUGGCAGAGCGGUUGAAUGCAACGGUCUUGAAAACCGUCGAAGGGGAAACUCUUCCGUGAGUUCGAAUCUCACCGCUUCCG
rfam:Pseudomonas sp. 21C1 contig00005, whole genome shotgun sequence.